rnacentral:rRNA from 1 species
UACGUAGGGUGCGAGCGUUAAUCGGAAUUACUGGGCGUAAAGCGUGCGCAGGCGGUUCGUUGUGUCGGCGGUGAAAGCCCCGGGCUUAACCUGGGAAUGGCCGUUGAAACUGGCGAACUGGAGUGUGGCAGAGGAGAGCGGAAUUCCUGGUGUAGCGGUGAAAUGCGCAGAUAUCAGGAGGAACACCCGUGGCGAAGGCGGCUCUCUGGGACGGUACUGACGCUGAGACGCGAAAGCGUGGGGAGCGAACAGG